UCUCCUACGGGAAGGCAGCAGUAGGGAAUCUUCGGCAAUGGACGAAAGUCUGACCGAGCAACGCCGCGUGAGUGAAGAAGGUUUUCGGAUCGUAAAACUCUGUUGUUAGAGAAGAACGACGAGGAGAGUGGAAAGCUCCUCGUGUGACGGUAUCUAACCAGAAAGGGACGGCUAAUCUACGUGCCAGCAGCCGCGGUAAUACGUAGGUGCCCGAGCGUUGUCCGGAUUUAUUGGGCGUAAAGCGAGCGCAGGUGGUUUAUUAAGUGCUGGUGUAAAAGGCAGUGGCUCAACUCAGUAGUAUGCAUUUGGAAACUGGUAGACUGAGUCAUGAGAGGAGAUG
rnacentral:rRNA from 1 species